AUGGGGAAGUCCAAACCAGCACCAGGUGUGCUUCAUGGGCGAUUCCAGAGCAGAAAGUUCCCAGCUGCGAACAGCCAGCCAGGAUCCAGGACCAGACACAGCACCCACGACACCCUAGCUCAAGUCAGUGCUAACAGAGCACGCUCUGUGGUGCACUGUUUAGGCCUGCCCAGUGGCCGAUACUAUUUUUUGUAAUAGCCAGUGUUCACGCAUGAAAAAUACUGGAAAAAAGCUGCUUUUCUGUUGACUUUUAACAGGAAAUUUCUAAUUCCAAAAUGCUGCAUGUUGUUUUGAAAAUCCGUCCAUUUAGAGUGAGAGAAAACAUUCAAAUAUAGUUGUUUGAGGAGAAUAGCAUGGAAGCAAGUGCACAUCCCCAACACACUCUCUCUCUGGCUCAUGUUAGAUGCUCUCUCCUCUUCUGCGUUAUCAACAUCAAAUUCACCAAACGUUAAGAACAUCUAAAGGGAAGAUGUUCUUCUGCAAUGAAGCAGACUUAUAUCUCCAGCACUCCACUUCUAUCAAACUAUUACUGUCUUCAAGUCUUCACACAGUGUAGAUCAGACUAGACUGAAGAACCCUCCAGACCAGUCUAUUGUAAAAAUGAUACUGAUUUUCCUUUAAUGUCUGUAGCUCAGACAGUGUUUGUGGAUAACCUCCAGUGAAGUACUCAUUAUUUCUGUCUUGAGAAGUUUGAAUUGCACUGUAUUGGAGCAUCUCUGAAAGCCGUCUUCCCCCUUUUCUCCAAAUCUUCAGCCACACUCGUAGCUAAUGCCAAAGCAUUAAGCCCAAG
rnacentral:lncRNA from 1 species